rnacentral:rRNA from 1 species
UACGAAGGGGGCUAGCGUUGCUCGGAAUCACUGGGCGUAAAGCGCACGUAGGCGGAUUGCUAAGUCAGGGGUGAAAUCCUGGAGCUCAACUCCAGAACUGCCUUUGAUACUGGCGACCUUGAGUCCGGGAGAGGUGAGUGGAACUGCGAGUGUAGAGGUGAAAUUCGUAGAUAUUCGCAAGAACACCAGUGGCGAAGGCGGCUCACUGGCCCGGUACUGACGCUGAGGUGCGAAAAGCGUGGGGAGCAACAGG